GGUCGGUUGGCUCAGUCAGUUGAGCGCGAUGCUGAGAAUGUCAAGGUUGCAGGUUCAAUUCCCGCUCGGUCCC
rnacentral:tRNA from 1 species